UACGGAGGGUGCGAGCGUUAAUCGGAAUUACUGGGCGUAAAGCGCACGCAGGUGGUUGGGUAAGUCGGAUGUGAAAGCCCUGGGCUUAACCUGGGAACUGCAUUCGAUACUGCCCGGCUAGAGUAUGGGAGAGGGAAGCGGAAUUUCCGGUGUAGCGGUGAAAUGCGUAGAUAUCGGAAGGAACACCAAUGGCGAAGGCAGCUUCCUGGCCCAAUACUGACGCUCAGGUGGGAAAGCGUGGGGAUCAAACAGG
rnacentral:rRNA from 1 species